GAUCCUGGCCCAGGAUGAACGCUAGCUACAGGCUUAACACAUGCAAGUCGAGGGGCAUCAGUUUGGUUUGCUUGCAAACCAAAGCUGGCGACCGGCGCACGGGUGAGUAACACGUAUCCAACCUGCCUCAUACUCGGGGAUAGCCUUUCGAAAGAAAGAUUAAUAUCCGAUAGCAUAUAUUUCCCGCAUGGGUUUUAUAUUAAAGAAAUUCGGUAUGAGAUGGGGAUGCGUUCCAUUAGUUUGUUGGGGGGGUAACGG
rnacentral:rRNA from 1 species